CCUACGGGAGGCAGCAGUGAGGAAUAUUGGUCAAUGGCCGGAAGGCUGAACCAGCCAUGCCGCGUGAAGGUCAGUGCCCUAUGGGCGUUAAACUUCUUUUGUGCGGGAGCAAUAAUGGUCACGUGUGGCCAGACGAGAGUACCGUACGAAUAAGCAUCGGCUAACUCCGUGCCAGCAGCCGCGGUAAUACGGGGGAUGCAAGCGUUAUCCGGAUUUAUUGGGUUUAAAGGGUGCGUAGGCUGUGAGGUAAGUCAGCGGUGAAAUGCCCACGCGCAACGGGGUGAAGUGCCAUUGAUACUGCCUGGCUGGAAUGCGGAUGCCGUGGGAGGAAUGUGUGGUGUAGCGGUGAAAUGCAUAGAUAUCACACAGAACACCGAUUGCGAAGGCAUCUCACGAAUCCGCGAUUGACGCUGAUGCACGAAAGCGUGGGUAUCAAACAGGAUUAGAUACCCGAGUAGUC
rnacentral:rRNA from 1 species